GUGCUGGGUGCGGGUGCGGGUGCGGGGUUGGGCCUGCGCAUCGGGUGAGACGCUGGCUGCUUGCGGCUAGUGGAUGGUAAUUGCCUGCCUCGCGCUAGCAGGAAGGUAGUGUGGUGUGACUAACGGGUAUUUAUUAUAUCCUCGAUGGCUCGAGGGCCCCGUCCCCUCUACUCGUCCUGGUCCGGGCGCGAACGCUAUAGGGCAGCUAAGGGCGCUCCCCGCGGGGCGGGAAGCGAAGCCGGGCUUGCGGGCGCGCACACGUGGAACGCGUUUUCUGAGCAGGCACACCUGUUGUCCUUAACUGACUUUCCGGGUCAUCAGCACUUCUUCAGAAGUGUUCCUUUUCCCUCCCAGCAAAUAUGGAAGACUGACUAUCCUGAUAUUCCCAGACAUUCUUUGCUGUGAUUUCUGCUCUGUUAAAAGCGAAAAUGAAACAAUUGCCUGCGGCAACAGUUCGACUCCUUUCAAGUUCUCAGAUCAUCACUUCGGUGGUCAGUGUUGUAAAAGAGCUUAUUGAAAACUCCUUGGAUGCUGGUGCCACAAGCGUAGAUGUUAAACUG
rnacentral:lncRNA from 1 species